GCUGGUUUUACCGUCGCGAGAGAAUCAAUCCCUCGCUAGCCUGGCCUCGUCUCCCGUCUCCAGUCGCAGCCGCCGCCGCACCCCAAUCCAACCCCGCCGCCAGCGAUCUCCUCGCCCCCCUGCGCCGCCGCCCCCAACCUUCUAUUCCUCUCCCAAGGGAAUCCCUAGGGAAGGGAAGGCAAGGCAAGGCAAGGCAAGGGAAGGUAAGGGAAGGGAGAGGGAGCGCCCAGAUCCACGACGGCAUCUGCACUUCGCCCCCGCCGCUGCAUCCCUUCGCCGGUGCCCUCCCAGUUCAAAGCCGCCACCGCUUUGCUUCACGAACCGGCGACGAUCUACUUGUGGAGUCGCACGAUGAUCCCUUCCCGGAUCCGCCGCCGAUCACUUUCAGGAUCCGCCGCGGAUCACUUCCAGGAUCCGCCGCGUACCGCCUACAGGAUCCGCCGCCAAUCACUUCAAGGUUUCGCCACGUACCGCCUAUAGGAUCCGCCCGUUCGUGCUAUGGCUCCCUUUCCCUCUCCGCCAAAUCUGACCUUUGUGUAUGUGUUGCGCUGUGUGCGUGUGUGCUCUGCGUUAGUGAUGGGAUGGGCAUGCUCUGUGUGUGGCUUUCUAGUUUAGCUUGUGUGCGUGCGUGUUCUCCGCCGAUUGAUGCUUGUAUGAACUCAGCGUGUUUGUGUGCGUGCUGCUUGCUGCUUGCUGGCUGCCGAUGGAUGCUUGUUGCGUGUGCAUGCAUGUGUGUGGUGUUUGCUGGAUCAAGCAACAACGACACAUGUUGUUUUCUAAUUUUGGUGCGUGAAUAUAUCAUGCGAACAGGAGGCAUUAGAGACAGCUUAUUGAGAUGUAAUAACCAAGUAACACUGAAGAGACAAAAAAUACGUAUUAUUAUGCAACAGCUAAUUUCCUUAUCAUGUACUGUUUAUAGACAACCAUUGCUUGGUUAUGCGCUUCUUUUCUAUUGGUUGAUUAUGGACUACAUCACUCACUUCUAAAUUACAAACUGGAUAUCAUGUUCAACAUAAGAUCCCAUGUUCAAAUUUAUAGCUGGUUCAUCCACUUUUUAAUGUUAAUUGGUGAUAAGAGCAGCCUCACAGUUCAAGACACAUCAUAUAAUUAUUCUGUAUGAACUACCCUAGACUAAUCAUAUGUACACUUGCAGGGGCAGCUAGCUUUGCUGAUGCAUAUGCCGACAUGAUAAACAAGAUAUGCAUGCAUAUUUUAAUUUUAUUUGGAGAUAAGAUAUAUAUGCAAUACUAAUUGCUAAGUCGAGGAAGCAAGUGUUGGAUACUUUGCUUAACAUGAAACUGGAACAUGAAACACUGAUGCAGGUUUCAUGAUGGAACUGGAAAGGCCCUUCUGAAGAGAUCGGGACAAAGGAGUUCUGAAGAAGAAGAUUCAUCUACAGAAUAUAUAAUGUGCAUUGAAGAAAACAGAGAUUCAUCUUGAACUUGUUUUGCUGCCACAUCUUCUCUUACCAUACGAUGAAUAGGUACUAUGUUCCAUCCCUCUUUUAUUUCACACUGCAUUAACAAUGUUUUUUCAGUGUGUCGAUUUGCCUAACUAUGCCUUAUUGAUUACUGAUUUUGUUACUAAUGUGUACACAAACGCUGCCUAAUUAAUUUAGUCCACUAUAUCUAACCAUAUGAAAAGUGAAAGUUGAUUCUGACUACUUGCCUGGUGGUGCGGUACAUUACCUCUUUUUUCAAAUUAUGAGAGCAGAACGACAGCGUUGGCGUAGACGACUCGGAGCUCAACCCCGUCAAGGGCCGCGAGCAGGAGCGGCUUUCUUUUCCACAAGAAGAUGACCAAGGUCCAAGGGCGCCGUCGGCCACUUUGUCGUUGUCGUCGAAGAGUCCAAGAUUGUCCCCGCAUCGGUUGCAUUGGUGCCGAUCAGGUGCUAAUAUGAAUCCUUUUCCAAUUGCAAGUGGCCUAUAAAAAACCCUGGGUUGAAUGCACAUUACCGUCACACUGCCAUGUAAUUUUUGUUGGUACACAAUCAUGUUGCUGCAGUUCUAUUUAUAGACUUUUUGGUCAUUUUGUCUUUGUCUUUGUCCAUGGUCAGAUCAUGUUUUUAAGCUUGAUUGUUAUGAGUCAGUAAGGUGAGAAUGAGCGGUUAUGGUUUAACUAAUCAUCCCAUCAUGUUUUUAGUAUCACUAAUUUAUUUAUGCUAAUUCUUUCAACAUUAUUGCCUUUGAUGAUUCUAAAAGGUAAAGAGAAAUGUUAAAGAAUUCAUCUUCUGCUAUGGCACACAACCCCGCCUGCUCCGUGGAUGUCUACGCAAUCAUCGUCCUUAACCGCUGUCUAGCGUCUGUGACCUCUGUUGGCCUCAUCAUGGUUCCUUGACCCUCCAGCUGCUCACGUGCUUCUCUGUUCGUCGCAGGUCCAGGUCUGCGCGGUUGGGGCGUCAAUCACGUGUUCAGCGACAUGUCAGAGCAACUCUCUGGCCAGAACCCUGACUAUGUGCGCUUCAGGGGUAAUGAAUUUUCCUGUGCUGGAUCAACAUGCAGAUCCUGCCCACCUUGAAGUCAUAAAUCCAGUGAAGUCAAUUUCAGUAUAUUCAGGACAUAGCCAGUAGCUUAGCAAUUUCCACGAGUAUGUUUUGUUUACAAUAAAGUUGUGUGCAAAAUGUAUAUGCUACAUUAUGCAUGAUUCUCUCUUUUAUCAAAGUAUAUCCAUGUGUUUAUUUUGUCAUCCCGUUGCAAUGCAUGGGACAUUCGAUUUGAUUCA